rnacentral:rRNA from 1 species
UACGUAGGAUGCGAGCGUUGUCCGGAUUUACUGGGCGUAAAGAGCGCGCAGGCGGUCGUUCAAGUCGCGUGUGAAAGCCCCCGGCUCAACUGGGGAGGGUCACGCGAUACUGAUCGACUGGAAGGCAGGAGAGGGUAGUGGAAUUCCCGGUGUAGUGGUGAAAUGCGUAGAUAUCGGGAGGAACACCAGUGGCGAAGGCGACUACCUGGCCUGUUCUUGACGCUGAGGCGCGAAAGCUAGGGGAGCAAACGGGG